AUGCUGGAGGCUCAGGGAUGCUGGAGGGACCCAUUCUGCUUAGCCCUGGAGGGACUGGUUCUGCUCACACCACUCCUGGUACUGAGCGCUUCUUCUCCGUGGCCACGAACCUCUCCAACCUGCCAGCCCUUUUUCUGGGGGCAACAGCUGAGCUCGUCCUGGCUGUUUCCUCCACAUCUUCAGAUGGCACACUUACUCAAUCACCCGUUUGACAAAUACUUACUGAGGGCCUGCUGUGUGCUGGACACCAUUCUAGGCCCUUGUGGAACUCCAUGAACAAGACAGACAGAGAUCCUUGCCCUCCAGGAGCUGACAGAGGGGCUAACUUCAUCCCGGAGCAAACAUAAGUCCAGCAGGGGCAGACAGACGAGAUACAAGACACAUCCUGAGCACGCACACUGAACAAUAUCUGAAGACGCAAUAAGAGCUUUGGAAAAAGCACAGCAGGGUAAGGGGGGUCAGCAGUGCCAGGGAGCGGGGGUGCAGGAGGGAG
rnacentral:lncRNA from 1 species